rnacentral:lncRNA from 1 species
CUACUAGACUCAUCAGUGAUGAAGCUUCUGGGAUUUAGGUCUACAUGAAUCCCCACCAAGAAAAAUGCCAGUCGACUGAAUGAGCACGAUGGCAGCUCUCUGGCCAAGUGUAUGCAGAAGGGAGUGGUUCACUCUAAAGAACUCAGAUUGGGGGAGAAAGUCUUGGACCAUCUCAGUUGGGAACUUCCUACAAUUGGCUGAUCUUGCUGCUGCCCCCCCUGUCAUCCGUAAAACCAUGGAGAGGCAUUUUCUUUUCUGCUGGAAUUGGGGUAUGAUUCAGUUUGUCCCAUCCAUGUUGUAAGACUUAUACUACUUUUGUUACUGAUACUUAACUUCAUGUUUUUUUUUUGUUGUUGUUGUUUAUGUUUUGUUUUGUUUUGCUUGUAGAUGGGGAAUUUUUUGGUUGUUUUUGUUUUGUUUUCAACCAAAGUGUAUAGUUAAUAAAUUGGCUUUUGGUUUGUUUGUUUUAAUCCA